CUUGGUCAUUUAGAGGAAGUAAAAGUCGUAACAAGGUUUCCGUAGGUGAACCUGCGGAAGGAUCAUUAUCGAAUCGUAGGCGAGGGUUGUCGCUGGCCUCUCGGGGCAUGUGCACGCCCGAGCCCUUGAAUCCCAAACACCACAUGUGAACCCACCGUAGGCCUUCGGGCCUAUGUCUUAUCAUAUAAUCUGAAUGUCUAAUAGAAUGUAAACCCAUUUCGUUGCCUUGAAAACGUAACGAAAGAAAACUAUACAACUUUCAACAACGGAUCUCUUGGCUCUCGCAUCGAUGAAGAACGCAGCGAAAUGCGAUAAGUAAUGUGAAUUGCAGAUUUUCAGUGAAUCAUCGAAUCUUUGAACGCACCUUGCGCCCCUUGGUAUUCCGAGGGGCAUGCCUGUUUGAGUGUCAUUAAAUCCUCAACCCCUCCGAUUCGUUUCGGUGGGGAUUGGACUUGGAGCGUGCUGGCGAAGGUCGGCUCCUCUUUAAAUGCAUCAGCGGAGAAAAUGCCUUUUGCGCCUCUGGCCGUUCAGCGUGAUAAUGAUGUUGCGCUGCGGUCGAGCUUAAGGUCCGCUUCCAAAGGUCCUCGGACAAAUAUACAUAUGACUUUUGACCUCAAAUCAGGUAGGACUACCCGCUGAACUUAAGCAUAUCAAUAAGCGGAGA
rnacentral:rRNA from 1 species